GAUGAAGAACGUAGUGAAAUGCGAUACUUGGUGUGAAUUGCAGAAUCCCGUGAACCAUCGAGUCUUUGAACGCAAGUUGCGCCCGAAGCCAUUAGGCCGAGGGCACGCCUGCCUGGGCGUCACACGUCGUUGCCCCCCAUCUACUCCUUCGGGAUUGCGGGGGGCGGAUGAUGGCCUCCCGUGCGCCUCGCCGCGCGGUUGGCAUAAAUGCCAAGUCCUCGGCGACGCACGCCACGACAAUCGGUGGUUGCGAAACCUCGGUUGCCCGUCGUGUGCGGUCGUCGCGCAUCGAGGGCUCGAAAAAAUUGCCGGGUUCCGGCUCGGCUUUCAACGCGACCCCAGGUCAGGGGGGGUUACCCGCUGAAUUUAAGCAUAUCAAUAAGCGGAGGA
rnacentral:misc_RNA from 1 species